AUACAUGCUAAAAACCCCGACUUCGGAAGGGGUGUAUUUAUUAGAUAAAAAACCAAUGCCCUUCGGGGCUCUCUGGUGAAUCAUAAUAACUUCACGAAUCGCAUGGCCUUGCGCCGGCGAUGGUUCAUUCAAAUUUCUGCCCUAUCAACUUUCGAUGGUAAGAUAGAGGCUUACCAUGGUUUCAACGGGUAACGGGGAAUUAGGGUUCGACUCCGGAGAGGGAGCCUGAGAAACGGCUACCACAUCCAAGGAAGGCAGCAGGCGCGCAAAUUACCCAAUCCCGACACGGGGAGGUAGUGACAAUAAAUACUGAUACAGGGCUCUUUUGGGUCUUGUAAUUGGAAUGAGUACAAUUUAAAUCCCUUAACGAGGAACAAUUGGAGGGCAAGUCUGGUGCCAGCAGCCGCGGUAAUUCCAGCUCCAAUAGCGUAUAUUAAAGUUGUUGCAGUUAAAAAGCUCGUAGUUGAACCUUGGGCCUGGCUGGCCGGUCCGCCUCACCGCGUGUACUGGUCCGGCCGGGCCUUUCCUUCUGGGGAGCCGCAUGCCCUUCACUGGGCGUGUCGGGGAACCAGGACUUUUACUUUGAAAAAAUUAGAGUGUUCAAAGCAGGCCUUUGCUCGAAUACAUUAGCAUGGAAUAAUAGAAUAGGACGUGUGGUUCUAUUUUGUUGGUUUCUAGGACCGCCGUAAUGAUUAAUAGGGAUAGUCGGGGGCAUCCGUAUUCAAUUGUCAGAGGUGAAAUUCUUGGAUUUAUUGAAGACGAACUACUGCGAAAGCAUUUGCCAAGGAUGUUUUCA
rnacentral:rRNA from 1 species